UACGUAGGGGGCUAGCGUUGUCCGGAAUCAUUGGGCGUAAAGCGCGUGUAGGCGGUUCGGUAAGUCCGCUGUGAAAGUCGGGGGCUCAACCCUCGAAUGCCGGUGGAUACUGUCGAACUAGAGUGCGGAAGAGGCGAGUGGAAUUCCUGGUGUAGCGGUGAAAUGCGCAGAUAUCAGGAGGAACACCAAUUGCGAAGGCAGCUCGCUGGGACGUAACUGACGCUGAGACGCGAAAGCGUGGGGAGCGAACAGG
rnacentral:rRNA from 1 species